rnacentral:rRNA from 1 species
UGUUACUUUCGUUAAUAAUUUUUGGAUCAGUAGAUUUUUUGAAAUUUAAUGGAUUUGGCGGCAAGAUAGCCCAUUUAGAGGAACCUGCCCUGUAAACGAUGAACCACGAACUACUCUAUUUUAUUUUGUAAUCAGUUUGUAUACCGCUGUUGUCAGUCAGUUUUAAUAGGAAACUUUCUUUAAUGAUAUAUUCAUUGACUUCAAGUAAAGGUGCAGCUUAUAAUAAAGUCAGAGGUGGGUUACAAUUUUUUGAAAAACACGGACGAUGUCAUGAAAAGUCAUCAGAAGGUGGAUUUAAUUGUAAAGUUUUAGAUAGCUUGAUAUGAGCACUAACUUGUG